UACAGAGGUCUCAAGCGUUGUUCGGAUUCAUUGGGCGUAAAGGGUGCGUAGGUGGCGUCGUAAGUCGGGUGUGAAAUUUCGGAGCUUAACUCCGAAACUGCAUUCGAUACUGCGGUGCUUGAGGACUGGAGAGGAGACUGGAAUUUACGGUGUAGCAGUGAAAUGCGUAGAGAUCGUGAGGAAGACCAGUGGCGAAGGCGGGUCUCUGGACAGUUCCUGACGCUGAGGCACGAAGGCCAGGGGAGCAAACGGG
rnacentral:rRNA from 1 species